UGUCGGAGCGCCUUGUGCGGCUGGAGGGCGAGCACGCGGAGCUGGCCAGGACGCACGAGCAGCUGGAGAAGGCGCAUGCGAAGCUGGAGAAGGCACAUGCGAAGCUGGAGAAGUCGAGUGCCGCUCUGGAGCAGCAGGUGGCGGAGUGGAAGACCCGCGCCACGAGCCUGGACGCUGAGCGCGGCGACAUGUCGGAGCGCCUUGUGCGGCUGGAGGGCGAGCACGCGGAGCUGGCCAGGACGCACGAGCAGCUGGAGAAGGCACAUGCGAAGCUGGAGAAGUCGAGUGCCGCUCUGGAGCAGCAGGUGGCGGAGUGGCAGACCCGCGCCACGAGCCUGGACGCUGAGCGCGGCGACGUGUCGGAGCGCCUUGUGCGGCUGGAGGGCGAGCACGCGGAGCUGGCCAGGACGCACGAGCAGCUGGAGAAGGCACAUGCGAAGCUGGAGAAGUCGAGUGCCGCUCUGGAGCAGCAGGUGGCGGAGUGGCAGACCCGCGCCACGAGCCUGGACGCUGAGCGCGGCGACGUGUCGGAGCGCCUUGUGCGGCUGGAGGGCGAGCACGCGGAGCUGGCCAGGACGCACCAGCAGCUGGAGAAGGCGCAUGCGAAGCUGGAGAAGGCACAUGCGAAGCUGGAGAAGUCGAGUGCCGCUCUGGAGCAGCAGGUGGCGGAGUGGCAGACCCGCGCCACGAGCCUGGACGCUGAGCGCGGCGACGUGUCGGAGCGCCUUGUGCGGCUGGAGGGCGAGCACGCGGAGCUGGCCAGGACGCACGAGCAGCUGGAGAAGGCGCAUGCGAAGCUGGAGAAGGCACAUGCGAAGCUGGAGAAGUCGAGUGCCGCUCUGGAGCAGCAGGUGGCGGAGUGGAAGACCCGCGCCACGAGCCUGGACGCUGAGCGCGGCGACAUGUCGGAGCGCCUUGUGCGGCUGGAGGGCGAGCACGCGGAGCUGGCCAGGACGCACGAGCAGCUGGAGAAGGCACAUGCGAAGCUGGAGAAGUCGAGUGCCGCUCUGGAGCAGCAGGUGGCGGAGUGGCAGACCCGCGCCACGAGCCUGGACGCUGAGCGCGGCGACGUGUCGGAGCGCCUUGUGCGGCUGGAGGGCGAGCACGCGGAGCUGGCCAGGACGCACGAGCAGCUGGAGAAGGCACAUGCGAAGCUGGAGAAGUCGAGUGCCGCUCUGGAGCAGCAGGUGGCGGAGUGGCAGACCCGCGCCACGAGCCUGGACGCUGAGCGCGGCGACGUGUCGGAGCGCCUUGUGCGGCUGGAGGGCGAGCACGCGGAGCUGGCCAGGACGCACCAGCAGCUGGAGAAGGCGCAUGCGAAGCUGGAGAAGGCACAUGCGAAGCUGGAGAAGUCGAGUGCCGCUCUGGAGCAGCAGGUGGCGGAGUGGCAGACCCGCGCCACGAGCCUGGACGCUGAGCGCGGCGACGUGUCGGAGCGCCUUGUGCGGCUGGAGGGCGAGCACGCGGAGCUGGCCAGGACGCACGAGCAGCUGGAGAAGGCGCAUGCGAAGCUGGAGAAGGCACAUGCGAAGCUGGAGAAGUCGAGUGCCGCUCUGGAGCAGCAGGUGGCGGAGUGGAAGACCCGCGCCACGAGCCUGGACGCUGAGCGCGGCGACAUGUCGGAGCGCCUUGUGCGGCUGGAGGGCGAGCACGCGGAGCUGGCCAGGACGCACGAGCAGCUGGAGAAGGCGCAUGCGAAGCUGGAGAAGGCACAUGCGAAGCUGGAGAAGUCGAGUGCCGCUCUGGAGCAGCAGGUGGCGGAGUGGCAGACCCGCGCCACGAGCCUGGACGCUGAGCGCGGCGACGUGUCGGAGCGCCUUGUGCGGCUGGAGGGCGAGCACGCGGAGCUGGCCAGGACGCACGAGCAGCUGGAGAAGGCGCAUGCGAAGCUGGAGAAGUCGAGUGCCGCUCUGGAGCAGCAGGUGGCGGAGUGGCAGACCCGCGCCACGAGCCUGGACGCUGAGCGCGGCGACAUGUCGGAGCGCCUUGUGCGGCUGGAGGGCGAGCACGCGGAGCUGGCCAGGACGCACGAGCAGCUGGAGAAGGCACAUGCGAAGCUGGAGAAGUCGAGUGCCGCUCUGGAGCAGCAGGUGGCGGAGUGGCAGACCCGCGCCACGAGCCUGGACGCUGAGCGCGGCGACGUGUCGGAGCGCCUUGUGCGGCUGGAGGGCGAGCACGCGGAGCUGGCCAGGACGCACGAGCAGCUGGAGAAGGCACAUGCGAAGCUGGAGAAGGCGCAUGCGAAGCUGGAGAAGUCGAGUGCCGCUCUGGAGCAGCAGGUGGCGGAGUGGCAGACCCGCGCCACGAGCCUGGACGCUGAGCGCGGCGACGUGUCGGAGCGCCUUGUGCGGCUGGAGGGCGAGCACGCGGAGCUGGCCAGGACGCACGAGCAGCUGGAGAAGGCGCAUGCGAAGCUGGAGAAGGCGCAUGCGAAGCUGGAGAAGUCGCACGCCGCGCUGACGGAGUUGAGCGCAGUUGCAGACGAAAAGCUUUCUUCUUCUAUGAAAGUUAGUGAGGAGCUAAAGUCUACUAUCCGCAGUACCAGUGAUCGAGUCGGUGUCGCUGAAAUGGAGGUGAGGCGUCUGAGUGAAGAGGUUUCGGUGGCUGAAAGUCGGGCGCGGGAUUGGGAGUGCCGAUGUGGUGUUUUGAGAGUGCGUUUGGAACUUUAUCGAGAGACGUUUCGUGGUGGUACGUGGGCACCAAGUGUUGUGGAUAUAUUCAAGCAUCGUUACGUGAAUUCGUCGAUUACGUCGGAGGAAAUGUCGGCGGCGGCAACGUCGAAAAGGUACCCGACCACGACAAGACUGGCCGAGCUUCUCCGGAGCGGCAACUUCAGUGUCGCUUGAGGCGCGUGCGGAGGCGCCUUUUGUGUGGUGUGUGGUGCCGUCGGCUUGCUUGAAUGCUGGCUGUGCUGUUUUGUGAGGGAACAUCAAUGGUCGCACCGUGGGCUCGCGGGUGUGCGCCGGUGUGUGGUGCAUCAGGUUACACUUUCGUUAAGGAAGCCCUCUACAGCUGACAGAGAGAGACGGAACGGCUCUCUCUGUGAAAGUGUCUCCGCGACGACCGCAGUGCUGCUGGGUUGCUGCGCAAGGCGUUUUCCGGUGUAUGCAGGGCGUUGCCUCACCGCCGUUUUUUUGAAGUGCCGGCUGCAGUGCAGCCGAUCAGGGGGUGGGUCGCUUUUGUUGUUUUUGGGUUUUCUGGUCUGUGAUGGUAGCUUAAGGGUUAGCAUAGAGGGGAAUCGGCUUUUUGGGCGUGUGCGCCGAUGCCUUCGGCUAUCCACCGCACGCCUGGCUUUGUCGGUGCUAUCCAGAUGGCAAGGCCAGGGCGAACGCAAGCUAAUCUCCCAGCACAUCCAAUAGCACAUGAAAGACCCACGCAUAUCGCACCGCUGCAAGCGCCUAGAUGAAAACAGAGUGCCGCAAAAACCACCUACCAUUGAUAGCAGGAGAGAACCACAGCCAGCCAACGCCGGAGUGCGCGUCUGCUCAUUUUUCUUAUACAUGUGACGCUGCUUAUAGAGACGUGGUCUGCUUGCCUCACCGCUGUGCGGGUUUGCAUGCUGCCCAUCGCGGAGUGAGCGGGCAAAGGCCACAACGAACG
rnacentral:misc_RNA from 1 species